GGCUGCCUGUCUCCUCUCUCAAUAUACUGCUCCGCUGCGAAAUCUUCGCACUUCCGCGCAUGGCGGGUGUCACAGAGCGGGCAAUACCUUCUCACUGCGUUUGUCCUCUUUUUGUUUUUUGCUCUUUUUUCCUCUCGUGAGGCCGUGACCCGCAUGUUCAUGACCAACAGAACGAACCAAAUGGAUGGUCUCGUUGGGGGCACUAGUAGAUCCAAAAGGGUCCGUCCCUCGUUAACGGGGAGGAUACCCCGUCUCGGGGCGUACCCAACCCCUAAGGGGUUGGCUCUUUGCCUCAGCGCCCCCAUCCAACUUGUUCAGCGAUGGGGGUAGGCCGGCUAUUCACAUUCU
rnacentral:lncRNA from 1 species